rnacentral:rRNA from 1 species
UACGUAGGUGGCGAGCGUUGUCCGGAUUUACUGGGCGUAAAGGGAGCGUAGGCGGAUUUUUAAGUGAGAUGUGAAAUACUCGGGCUCAACUUGAGUGCUGCAUUUCAAACUGGAAGUCUAGAGUGCAGGAGAGGAGAAUGGAAUUCCUAGUGUAGCGGUGAAAUGCGUAGAGAUUAGGAAGAACACCAGUGGCGAAGGCGAUUCUCUGGACUGUAACUGACGCUGAGGCUUGAAAGCGUGGGGAGCAAACAGG